rnacentral:tRNA from 1 species
GGGGCUGUGGCUCAGUGAUAGAGCAUCUUCUCGGCAGGCAGAAGGUCUCAGAUUCAAUCCCUAGCAUCUCCA